rnacentral:lncRNA from 1 species
GUCUCUUUUCCGUUUCAUUUUCGCCGGCCCCUCCACCGAGGGCCCCGCCGCCCGCCCGUUCCCGCGAACGCUCCCGCCUUCAGACGUGUCAGGGAACGCGGGUGUGCGCGCGGGAGGGAGGGAAGGGGGGAGAGAGGAGAGAGAGGGCAAGGAGGGGGGGUGGCGGCUUGGGAUCUCCCCCCCCCCCAAGCCCUUAACAUUUCCAGCUUCUGGUCGACACGCGUCCGCGACCCCCCACCAAGCCCCAUUCCCACGGCGCCAGCGGGUGCCUCGGCCUACCUUUCCUGCAGCAGCAGCAGCAGCCGGAGGCUCGGGGCGGCUGGCCAAGCGAAGGGGCGCGACGGCCGCGGGGUCCCCCUCGGGGAGGGAGGCAAAGGCGCCGGACGGGACCCCCCUUGGUCGUCUGGACGCGGCGAGCAAGAGGCGAGCUCCACGGCUGCUGUCCUCCAGGCUGCUGCUCCCGCUCCUCCUCCUCCUGGCUCUGCGGCUCGGCCCCGAGCAGCGCCUCCCUCUUCGCCUCCUCCCGAGAAGGCGGUCCGCACGGCGACCCACAGAGACGGGGGUGGGUGGGUCAGACUCCCCAGAAGCCAGAGGACAAAAAGAGGGUGGUCUCUGGACAGCCAGCCUGCGGAAAGGGGGGGGGACACGCCGAUCUCCCCCCUGAUCACAAUGGGGGGGGGAACUGCGAUGACCCCUAGGCCUGCUGGCCAGUGCUCCUGGCUGUGGACUUUGAUCUGGAGAUGAUCAGCUUGGGGCCAGACACAAGUCAGGUUCCACAUUAUGGGGACCCUUGUCAGGGUGUUCUAGGUAUGAAAUACUCAGAACUGGUUUCCCCUUCCCUCCUUGUCCGGGAACUCUGCAGCUGACCCAAGGACACCCAGGCUUGGCCCACACUUUCCCAUGGCCAGCUGUUCUCUGUAAAAGGAGAUGAUCUGUCACUGUGAUUGAUGAGUGUCAACUGGCUAGUCUUUUGUAUGCAGGGAUCACACAAAAGACUAUUCCCCCCUCUUAUCACAACAAAAUACCCAUAACAAAAAAACACCCAGAAACACCCAGUCUCCUGAAAAGAACAAAAGCCCUGAUCCCACAGCUAUGGCCCACACUUUCCCAUCCCUAGCUGUUCUCUUAAAAGGAGAUGAUCUGUCAUUGUGAUUGAUGAGUGUCAAUUGGCUAGUCUUUUGUAUGCAGGGAUCACACAAAAGACUAUCCCCCCCCCUUAUCACAACAAAAUACCCAUAACAAAAAAACACCCAGAAACACCCAGUCUCCUGAAAAGAACAAAAGCCCUGAUCCCACAGCUACAAAUACUCACCCAUCCCACACACUACACCAGAGCACGGACAAGAGUUCCUACUCCCGUCCUCUGAAGAUGCUGGCCAAACGUUAGGAAGAAAAACCUCCAGAACACGGCCAGACAGCCCAAAAAAAGUUACAACCACCAUCAGAUGCCGGCCGUGAAAGCCUUUGAGAUCACAUUUU